GACGAACGCUGGCGGCGUGCCUAAUACAUGCAAGUAGAACGCUGAAGGAGGAGCUUGCUCUUCUGGAUGAGUUGCGAACGGGUGAGUAACGCGUAGGUAACCUGCCUGGUAGCGGGGGAUAACUAUUGGAAACGAUAGCUAAUACCGCAUAACAGUAGAUGUUGCAUGACAUUUACUUAAAAGGUGCAAUUGCAUCACUACCAGAUGGACCUGCGUUGUAUUAGCUAGUUGGUGGGGUAACGGCUCACCAAGGCGACGAUACAUAGCCGACCUGAGAGGGUGAUCGGCCACACUGGGACUGAGACACGGCCCAGACUCCUACGGGAGGCAGCAGUAGGGAAUCUUCGGCAAUGGACGGAAGUCUGACCGAGCAACGCCGCGUGAGUGAAGAAGGUUUUCGGAUCGUAAAGCUCUGUUGUAAGAGAUGAACGAGUGUGAGAGUGGAAAGUUCACACUGUGACGGUAUCUUACCAGAAAGGGACGGCUAACUACGUG
rnacentral:rRNA from 1 species